AGGCUAGAUGCCCUUCUAGGUAACAUCACCGUCUUCGUGGGAGGCAGAAUGUGCCAGGUACUGUGCAUGAACCCAGCCUUUGAGGAGCUGACCUUUUCCCUCUCUGGGACUCAAUUUCUCCAUCUGCAAAUGCAGGCGCCAGAAUGAGAUCAUCUCCACAGUCCCUUCCAGCUCUCAACGUUCUGCAGUACCCGGGGAUAAUGAAGAUUGAUCAUUAUUUCAACAUUACCAGGGAACAACCUUUCCAUGGAUAUCUUUUAGAUACGCUGAGAGUCAGCCUGGAGCCAUUGACAACAGAUGCCUACAUUCAAAUCCUGCCGCUGCCAUUUCCUCGAUGGUGACCUUGGGCAAGUGUUUAACUUCUGUGACCUUUGGUUUCUCACAUUUGUAAAAUGAGGCAACUAAGAGAUUCACUUGUCUCAAUUCACGGAAAAAGCACUUAGAAUGGGACUCAAUACAGAGUCAGAAUUCCAUAAA